ACUCCUACGGGAGGCAGCAGUGGGGAAUAUUGCACAAUGGGCGCAAGCCUGAUGCAGCCAUGCCGCGUGUGUGAAGAAGGCCUUCGGGUUGUAAAGCACUUUCAGCAGUGAGGAAGGUAGUGUAGUUAAUAGCUGCAUUAUUUGACGUUAGCUGCAGAAGAAGCACCGGCUAACUCCGUGCCAGCAGCCGCGGUAAUACGGAGGGUGCGAGCGUUAAUCGGAAUUACUGGGCGUAAAGCGCAUGCAGGUGGUUUGUUAAGUCAGAUGUGAAAGCCCGGGGCUCAACCUCGGAAUAGCAUUUGAAACUGGCAGACUAGAGUACUGUAGAGGGGGGUAGAAUUUCAGGUGUAGCGGUGAAAUGCGUAGAGAUCUGAAGGAAUACCGGUGGCGAAGGCGGCCCCCUGGACAGAUACUGACACUCAGAUGCGAAAGCGUGGGGGAGCAAACAGGAUUAGAUACCCGGUAGCACAGAG
rnacentral:rRNA from 1 species